CGAUGAAGGACGUGAUAAGCUGCGAUAAGCUUCGGGGAGUUGCACGUAAACUUUGAUCCGAAGAUUUCCGAAUGAGGAAACUCACUUAGAGUAAUGUCUAAGUAUCAUUAAGUGAAUACAUAGCUUAAUGAGGGGAACUCAGGGAACUGAAACAUCUAAGUACCUGAAGGAAGAGAAAGAAAUUCGAUUCCGUAAGUAGCGGCGAGCGAACGCGGAUUAGCCCAAACCAAUAAAGUUUUCUUUAUUGGGGUUGCGGACAUAUCAUAACGAAGAGGUAUCGUAAUUGAAGAGGUUUGGAAAGACCCACCACAGAAGGUAAUAGUCCU
rnacentral:rRNA from 1 species